rnacentral:rRNA from 1 species
CGUGCCUAACACAUGCAAGUCGAGCGGAAAUUUAUUUGGUGCUUGCACAUCUUAUUUUAGCGGCGGACGGGUGAGUAACGUGUGGGUAACCUGCCUUAUACUGUGGAAUAAUCAUGAGAAAUCGUGACUAAUACCGCAUGUCAUCCUUUUAUCGCAUGAUGAGAGGAGAAAAGGAUUUAUUCGGUAUAAGAUGGACCCGCAUCUGAUUAGCUAGUUGGUGAGAUAAUAGCUCACCAAGGCAACGAUCAGUAGCCGACCUGAGAGGGUGAUCGGCCACAUUGGGACUGAGACACGGCCCAGACUCCUACGGGAGGCAGCAGUAGGGAAUCUUCCACAAUGGACGAAAGUCUGAUGGAGCAACGCCGCGUGAGUGAAGAAGGAUCUCGGUUCGUAAACUCUGUUGCAGGGAAGAACAGUAGCGUAGUACUGGCGCUACUUGACGGUACUUGUUAGAAGCACGGCUACUACGUGCAGCAGCGCGGUAUACGUAGUGCAGCGUGCCGAAUAUGGCGUAGCGCGCGCAGUGUCUUAGUCUGAUGUGAAGCCCGCUCACCGGAGGCAUGAACUGGGACUGAUGCAAAGAUNUGAUCA